rnacentral:lncRNA from 1 species
AUCAGAUGAGUGUACUCAAUGACGUGGGAGAUCAUGAUGUCACAUAUUGUGAGCCAAAUCCGUUAAAUCUUUAGAAAAGAGACUGUGUUUCAUAAACUACAUUUAUAGAGUGAUCAUACUAUCUUGAUUAAAAAUAAGGACACUUGGGGCAAUUUUUGAAUGGAUUAAAAGUACCCAUACAAGAGUGACAAGGAGAAAUGCCCGAGGAAAGAAGGACGGUUGGUCACCCGAGCUCAUAAGAAAAUAACUAACCUUACAAUUUAACACUAACCACUCUUGGAAAGAUGCACAUGGGUAGUCAUUAGUGUUGGAUUCGAGUAUUACUCAAACUCGAAAAAACCCAGCGAUAUUACUAAACUCCACAAUUUUCAAAAAAUUACUCCAACUAAACCGAAAAAUUGUUUGACAAACUCGACUAAACACGAAUUCGAAUGAUCAAAACUCCAAAUAUUCGAGUAAUUAUUUGUCUCCUCUUCUGUUAUUUCUACAUAUUUAAUUAAUUAAUAAUUAAA